AAACAUAGUACCUUGUAAUGACAUGCAGGAACUGUGGAGUGAGGACUGCCUGCUCUGACUUCUCUGAAUAUUGGUCUUUUGUGGCUUGAGCUAGUGAACUCCUAAAAUUAGCAUUCAUGCCUUCCAGUUUUAAUUAAGGCCCUUCAGAAAGUUCCACUGGCUUCUGACAUAUGAUGAACUCAUCUAAUUCAAGCUGUAAAGGAUGCGUUGAAGGACUUUCAUCUUUCACACCUGAGCAAUGAAAAUGUUAACUGUUCAAACCAUUCCAUGCAGCAAUAAGAAAAUGGUACAGUUUCCAUUUCUAAAGGACAAUCCUUUUAAGUUUCUUCAGUUAUAAAGAAAGGACCUUCCUAAGGUUUGUUGGUGUUGAUCUGAUACAUAAACAUUUGGAAAAGUGGGAAUUGAUAACUGAUUACAUAUGGAUUGAUAUCUUGUAAUACACAGGAAUGAAACAUCCUGAGUACAUCUGUUUCUGGGAUUUCUAGAAUUCUAAGGCAAAUCCUCAAAUAAGAUAAAGGACUGAAAAACGAGAAUUUGCUUGAUUAUGGCAGGUUCUGAGCCUAACAGUUACAAAUGUACACACGCAUCACAACAGAAACAUUCUUAAUUGUGUAAGCCAGUUACUUAGGCAAUGACACGGAUAGAAUAACUUUUUAGAAUACAGCACACUGAACUACUACCCCUUUAAAUUGGCCCACCCUAAACAGGGGACCUAAUUCUGUGCCUGCAGAGGCUGUACUAUUCUCUAAGUGUGCAGCAUGAUGGCAUAAUUGUUUGAAAUGUUACCUCCACCUGCAGGCUGGUACAACUAUUCAUGCUCUAGAACAUUCAGCUGAUAGUCAGUGCUAGCACAAUCUGGAAAUAUUUUCUGAAGGUCAAAGACCUUGUUCGAGACUACCUUCAGAACAACAGGAAUAAAUUAGCAGAUUCUUGGAGGUUAAAAAAAAAAAUUAUUUCAGCACCUACCUCCA